GAUGAACGCUGGCGGCGUGCCUAAUACAUGCAAGUCGAGCGAACGGACGAGAAGCUUGCUUCUCUGAUGUUAGCGGCGGACGGGUGAGUAACACGUGGAUAACCUACCUAUAAGACUGGGAUAACUUCGGGAAACCGUAGCUAAUACCGGAUAAUAUUUUGAACCGCAUGGUUCAAAAGUGAAAGACGGUCUUGCUGUCACUUAUAGAUGGAUCCGCGCUGCAUUAGCUAGUUGGUAAGGUAACGGCUUACCAAGGCAACGAUGCAUAGCCGACCUGAGAGGGGGAUCGGCCACACUGGAACUGGGGCACGGUCCAGACUCCUACGGGAGGCAGCAGUAGGGAAUCUUCCGCAAUGGGCGAAAGCCUGACGGAGCAACGCCGCGUGAGUGAUGAAGGUCUUCGGAUCGUAAAACUCUGUUAUUAGGGAAGAACAUAUGUGUAAGUAACUGUGCACAUCUUGACGGUACCUAAUCAGAAAGCCACGGCUAACUACGUG
rnacentral:rRNA from 1 species